ensembl:lncRNA
CUUUGGGAACAGCUUUGUAGGAGAGGGAAGGUGACACCUUUCAGUAGCACAAUAUUUUUAACCUUGGUUUGCUGCUGCGAGAGGCUCAGGUUUUGAAAUGCGUCGCCGAUGGUGGAGGAACAUGAUUGAGGCUACCAUUAUAUUGGAGGAAAUAGUUUUAAAGCCUCAUGCUAUCAGAUGAUGCUGUGUGUGUCCGAAGUGCUGUAUCUGCCUGCGCUGUGCCUCUGCCUCAAGAUCCAGUAUUCCAGGAAAACUUCUUACACUAGAGAUCAAGCUUUAAGCCUACACGUCCCUUUGAGGUGCAGAACCAACUCGGAACGUGGUCCUACAGCUCCAGAUCCAAGCUGGAAGCAGGCUGAAGCUUCAGAGGGCUUUGCGAGGCUAUGGCACUUGUAAACCUGAACCCACAUGACAUUUCUGAGUCUUCUGGUGGUGGCUGCUGUUCACCUCACUAAUGGGAUCGCUAUCUGCCUCUGAAAUUUCUGAAGCCUCAGAAGCUGUCACACCAACUGCUUUUCCACCUCCAUUUGGUUUUAACAGCAAGUGGGACGUGCGUGUUUGAGCAACCUGUCUACCGUGCAAAGGUAAAGAAUCUUUAAGUCCCAUGCGGAGUGGCUGGUCCAGCUUUACCUUGAAAACCUCCAAGAAAUAAACAAGUCAUUAAUGUUGGGAGUUGAAGCGCUGAAUCAUGCCUCCCACGCUUUAGAACUUGUGUUCCAUUGAGUCUAAUUAUUUCACACUUGCUACACGGAUCUUUGAGCAACCUCUUCUGAGAAUAUUCACACUGAAAAAGAAAAAGCUCUGAUAAGAAGUCUAACACUGGGACAAAGGCUCUGGUCAAACUCGCCGGAACCAAAUGUUGACUGGUCUCCCAGGAAUGACGGCACCAAACAAAUUCAGGCAAACUUGGAAUUACAGCGAGAGCAGCGUAGUCAACGUGCAGCUGACCAGGUGUAUUGCAACCUCAAGAAAAUGCUGAACCAUAAAAGCACUUUAACCGGUUCCAUCUGUGUAUCUGAGAUGGAGUGAGAGUAUGUUUGAAUUCCACCAAAUCCCUCUCCUCUGUUGCAGCCCUGAGCAGAGCAGAGAGUCAGCAGAAAUAGGACACUGCUUUUUGCUGUUGCUUGAGGACUGGGGAUAGGGAGUUACUAUUUGUUUAAAAAUGGAUAAAUAAAUCACUAACCUACAGCAAACUCAGGAAGGCAAUGUAUCAGGUACUCGACAGCUCUCAGUGCUGAGAAGGAACUUCAGCACUACGACAUUGUUUUCCUGUGUGCCAUUCUUAUCUGACAGGUAGUACCAGCUGCCAGAACCCAUGUGGCUUUACUCUGUACUUUGUAUUGAAAUAUAAAUGGAGCUGAAUGCUUGUCAUAGUCCUGUGGGCAGGGCUCCUGUCUACUGCAGAGUUUAAUAUUGUGAUUGGCAACGUGAAAUCAGCUGAUGUAAUCCAUUCCAUUACAGAUAUUCACGGCAUGCCAUAUUACAAUACAGAGGCAGAGGUUUAGAGACUAGAAAGAUGUGACAAGCCAAAAAGCCAACCCAUUCAGAACCAAGGCUGGCACUGAAGAGCACCCCUCACUUUACAUUCACAAAAGUUCCUUUUAAUGCCAUUAGGAGUACACAGGAAGCAAAAUUCAGGUCAGGCACAAAGCACAUGGCAAAUAAAGUCACGGUUCCCCAGGCCACAUCUGACUGUAGAUCUGUCUUUAGCAUUACCUAGUGACUCAUGAUCACCAGCAUGUAUUGUCCAAAGUCAUUCCUAGGUUUCCCCAUUCUUUGGCCAAACAUCACAAGGCUUGGCUUAUUGUAGUGCAGGGGGAAGGAGCAGCACAGAGGCGUUUGUUCCUCUUUCUAGCAGCCUCACAGUACUCCGGCAGUAGCUCAGAAGCUGAUGCAGUGAUCUGUGUGCUAUUACAAGUCACAAAGCUCUGUGCAGUUUACUUAUACUUUCGAAGUCCUGGAUAUUUCCUUCCUGAAUUUCUCACAUGCCACCAGCCUCCAUCAGAAGCCAACUCUCAUCAAGCAGCUCUUUUAGACUUGAGGGUGCAGGCAGAGUGACCCCCACCUGCUGACUAACCCAUUUCUUUCCCAAAGCACGUGUUGAGCAAAAUCAGCACUUCCACUGGUUUUAAGGGGGGCUGUUCUUGUGGAAGGCACUGGAGAGGCUUCACAUGCAACUGAGGAGUUUCUACUACAGACCAUUGAUGAAAUAUACGCAGCUCCUGGUGCUUGGGAUUGGAAGAGAAAAAAAUACUGACAAUGUACAUUGAAUACAGUGCUGUUUUGAAUACAAAUAGGCCCAAUGUGGGUGCAUCUUUCCCCAGUUCUCUUUAACGUUCAAAGGAGGCUGGAGCCCAAGUGAUUAAUUGAACAAGGUUAUCAUGUGUUUACUUUUAUUUGUGAAGGGAGCGGUAAAAACAAAGAGUAUAUGAAACAAACGUUGUUUGCUAUACCAUUAAAUCAAUUUCUUUCCUUUUGCAAUGGUUUCUAAGUGUUGUUGGUAAAAAUAAUGUUGCUUUCACAGUAUAUCAUGUAAAGUGAUUUCAGGUGCAGUUUUUCUGCUGCUGACCUCUGCACUGCUUGCAUUUCAG